AGUGAACGCUGGCGGUAGGCCUAACACAUGCAAGUCGAACGGCAGCACAGUAAGAGCUUGCUCUUACGGGUGGCGAGUGGCGGACGGGUGAGGAAUACAUCGGAAUCUACUUUUUCGUGGGGGAUAACGUAGGGAAACUUACGCUAAUACCGCAUACUACCUACGGGUGAAAGCAGGUGAUCUUCUGACCUUGCGCGAUUGAUUGAGCCGAUGUCGGAUUCGCUAGUUGGCGGGUUAAAGUCCCCCCAAGGCGACGAUCCGUAUCUGGUCUGAGAGGAUGAUCAGCCACACUGGAACUGAGACACGGUCCAGACUCCUACGGGAGGCAGCAGUGGGGAAUAUUGGACAAUGGGCGCAAGCAUGAUACAGCCAUACCGAGUGGGUGAAGAAGGACUUCGGGUUGUAAAGCCCUUUUGUUGGGAAAGAAAAGCAGCAGGUUAAUACCCCGCUGUUCUGACGGUACCCAAAGAAUAAGCACCGGCUAACUUCGUG
rnacentral:rRNA from 1 species